rnacentral:rRNA from 1 species
AUUGAACGCUGGCGGCAGGCCUAACACAUGCAAGUCGAACGAGUGGCGGACGGGUGAGUAAUGUCUGGGCAACUGCCCGAUGGGGGGGGAUAACUACUGGAAACGGUUGCUAAUACCGCAUACCAUCGGAUGUGCCCAGAUGGGAUUAGCUAGUUGGUGGGGUAACGGCUCACCUAGGCGACGAUCCCUAGCUGGUAUGAGAGGAUGACCAGCAACACUGGAACUGAGACACGGUCUAGACUCCUACGGGAGGCAGCAGUGGGGAACAUUGCACAAGGGGCGCAAGCCUGAUGCAGCCAUGCCGCGUGUAUGAAGAAGGCCUUCGGGUUGUAAAGUACGUUCAGCGGGGAGGCGUUACCCGCAGAAGAAGCACCGGCUAACUCCGUGCCAGCAGCCGCGGUAAUUC